CUCUGUCGCACUUCUCUGUGGGAGCUGACAUUUUGCUUGUACUUCAUCAGGCUGGACCACCUGCUGAGAGCCAGCUUGAUGGACAUCACUGCUCACCCUCCCCAGUCCUAUAACCACUAGACAACCUGGAACAGAGAAACUGCCCUGUCCAUUCAGCUCAAGAAAAGCCCUGCAGACUCUCUGAAGAUGGCAUUGCAAGGAGAAAAUGAGGAUACAUGUCCAAGUGACAUAUCAAGUAAAAAAUCCUUCCAGUUGGCCUCCAGGCUCAAGGGAAUAUUUGUAUGCAGAGACAUGUACCAUAUGAAGAUUGAAGUUAUGUUGCCACAAGCCAAGGAACUACCAGAAACUAGGAGAGAGGCCUGGAACAGAUCAGUCCCUAGCACCUUCAGGGAGUUGUGGACACCUUGAUCUUGGAUGUCUAGCUUACAUCCAAGAACUACAAGGCAAUAAAUUUCUGUUGUUUAAACCAUUCAGUUUGUGGUACU